rnacentral:tmRNA from 1 species
UUUAUUGAAUCUUUAUUAAUAACUUUUAUAUUAAUAGUGUUGGUUUUCCAACUAUGACGAUAAACGAAUUUCGUAAUAAACAUUACGGACGUGGGGGCAGUACCCACCACCUCCACCAUUUACAACUUACGGGGGUGAACUAGGAUCGACGGAUGUCUAAAGGCUAUUUUUUCGUUCGGAAUUGUUCCACCGUGACGGGCUAUUUAUAAUUGCAAAUGAUAAAUUUGCUCUUGCUGCUUAAUUAAUUUAUUAAUUAAGUAACGGGGUUUUGGGGCACCUGGCAACAGAACGCCCCUUAA